AUUGAAACACCAGUUCUCAUAUGAUCACCAAAGUUAAGCAACAUUGAGCUUGGUCAAUACCUUGAUGGGUGACUGCUUGAGAAUAUCAGGUGCUGUAAG